GGUCCCCAGGCCCCACCAGGGGGGAUGAGGGGUGGGUAGGUGGGGGGAGCUCUGUGCCCCCCGGCUCGCCCGGGCCCGGCGGGCAGAACCCCAGCGCCGUUCCGCACUCGCGGAAUCCCGCCGGGGCGGCAGCGGGACCCUCCGCGGCGGCGGGGCGAGGCAGAGCCCUGGCACCCCCGGCCCGCUCCCGAGCUAAAAAAUGACCUUUCCCUGCAUAAUUUUGGAGGUAACCUAGCUGCGUAAUUAUAUUUGCACUUACAGAAGACUGCAUCAGAGUUCCCUUAUUGGUUUGAAAUUCCAUUAAAUAUAUUGCAAGAGCUCCUAGGUUAAGCUUGAUUUAAAUUUGCAUACAUUUUCAUAUAUUUAGCAGAAAUAAAAGAAGGCUUGCAGCUACCAGAAAGUCAUUAAGGCAUUAGUUUCUCUGAGAAGACAGAUCUGAAGAAAAUUCAAGAAAAUGAGAAAAUAGAUAUAAAUAAGAGGGCAAGUUACAUUUUAUAUCUCAUGUGGAAGCAGACAUCGUUACAGAUGCAGAGCGGAGAUGUCAGUGAGAACUGCCAACAUGACCGGGUUGUAUGAAUUGAAGAAUAUAUAUUUGCAAACUGAGGUGGUUUUUACCUUUCCCUGCUUGGAUGUUCAUGGCAUGUUGCUGGCAAACAUCUAAAAUUCAGUUUCCAAAGUUGUA